GCGGAGGAAAAGAAACCAACAGGGAUUGCCUUAGUAACGGCGAGUGAAGCGGCAACAGCUCAAAUUUGAAAGCUGGCUCCUUUGGAGUCCGCGUUGUAAUUUGUAGAGGAUGAUUCGGCAAGGGCUCCCGCCUAAGUCUCCUGGAACGGAGCGUCAUAGAGGGUGAGAAUCCCGUAUGCGGUGGGCUGCCUGAGCCAUGUGAAUCUCCUUCGACGAGUCGAGUUGUUUGGGAAUGCAGCUCUAAAUGGGAGGUAAAUUUCUUCUAAAGCUAAAUACCGGCCAGAGACCGAUAGCGCACAAGUAGAGUGAUCGAAAGAUGAAAAGCACUUUGGAAAGAGAGUUAAAAAGUACGUGAAAUUGUUGAAAGGGAAGCGCUUGCAGCCAGACUUGUCCGCAGUUGCUCAGCCGGUCUCCUGACCGGUGUACUCUUCUGCGGCCAGGCCAGCAUCAGUUCGGGCGGUCGGAUAAAGACCUCGGGAAUGUAGCUCCUCUCGGGGAGUGUUAUAGCCCGGGGUGGAAUGCGGCCAGCCUGGACUGAGGAUCUCGCUUCGGCUAGGAUGCUGGCGUAAUGGCUGUAAGCGGCCCGUCUUGAAACACGGACCAAGGAGUCUAACAUCUAUGCGAGUGUUUGGGUGUCAAACCCAUGCGCGUAAUGAAAGUGAACGGAGGUGGGAACCCUCACGGGUGCACCAUCGACCGAUCCUGAUGUCUUCGGAUGGAUUUGAGUAAGAGCAUAGCUGUUGGGACCCGAAAGAUGGUGAACUAUGCCUGAAUAGGGUGAAGCCAGAGGAAACUCUGGUGGAGGCUCGCAGCGGUUCUGACGUGCAAAUCGAUCGUCAAAUUUGGGUAUAGGGGCGAAAGACUAAUCGA
rnacentral:sRNA from 1 species